GAUGAACGCUGGCGGCGUGCCUAAUACAUGCAAGUCGAGCGAACAGACGAGGAGCUUGCUCCUCUGACGUUAGCGGCGGACGGGUGAGUAACACGUGGAUAACCUACCUAUAAGACUGGGAUAACUUCGGGAAACCGGAGCUAAUACCGGAUAAUAUAUUGAACCGCAUGGUUCAAUAGUGAAAGACGGUUUUGCUGUCACUUAUAGAUGGAUCCGCGCCGCAUUAGCUAGUUGGUAAGGUAACGGCUUACCAAGGCAACGAUGCGUAGCCGACCUGAGAGGGUGAUCGGCCACACUGGAACUGAGACACGGUCCAGACUCCUACGGGAGGCAGCAGUAGGGAAUCUUCCGCAAUGGGCGAAAGCUUGACGGAGCAACGCCGCGUGAGUGAUGAAGGUCUUCGGAUCGUAAAACGCUGUUAUUAGGGAAGAACAAAUGUGUAAGUAACUAUGCACGUCUGGACGGUACCUAAUCAGAAAGCCACGGCUAACUACGU
rnacentral:rRNA from 1 species